CAGUAGCCACGGGAAUACGUAGGUGGCAAGCGUUGUCCGGAAUUAUUGGGCGUAAAGCGCGCGCAGGCGGUUUCUUAAGUCUGAUGUGAAAGCCCCCGGCUUAACCGGGGAGGGUCAUUGGAAACUGGGAGACUUAGAGUGCAGAAGAGGGGAGUGGAAUUCCAUGUGUAGCGGUGAAAUGCGUAGAGAUGUGGAGGAACACCAGUGGCGAAGGCGACUCUCUGGUCUGUAACUGACGCUGAGGAGCGAAAGCGUGGGGAGCGAACAGGAUUAGAUACCCGUGUAGUCCCUGUCUCUUAUU
rnacentral:rRNA from 1 species